ensembl:lncRNA
CUUCAGCCAAGUGUGAUUUAGUAGAGGGAAAAAUUAAAAGAUCUGGGUGGGAAACAAAUUAUGAACCCUCUCUGACUGUAUGUGUUCAUCUGUUUGGGACCGAUCCAUACCUCCAGAGAUUGUGUUAGGAUGAAAUAGGUUUGUGAAAUUGCUCUUUAUACAGAAAAGCACUAUUCAAAUAUUGGGUAUCAUCCCUAUUUCAAAAUCUGGAUUGCUGAAGUUCAAUUUAAUAAGAUGGGUUUUAUUUUAUUUUUUUUCAUGCAUGGAAAGAACUUGUUUACAAGGGUGAAGAGCUCCCUGUGAGUAUGGAAGCUUAUCAGGAACUCCUCUACCAUUUCCAGGAGUCCAGAGGGCUACCCUGUUUGCAAAGUGUUAUCAAGGAGCGGGGUGUUCAGAAAAACAAACUCGCCUGUCCUGGGGUGGCCAGAUUAAGGUCUGUCUCCUCCAAAAACCUCCUGGGAUAACUUCAUCUCAGUUCUCUCUCUGCCUCAGAAUGACUAGAGCCUGCCACUAGAUUCAAUUCAACAAUAACUUUGUGGGGAAAAGGUCACUUUGCUGGGUGCCGGGGUAGGGGGUGAGGGUGGUGAGAUCUGAGAUGGAGAGAGGGCUCAAGGGCAGAGCCUGCAGUCCACCGGCCUGGUCCUCAGGAAUUCACGGUCUGCAGAUGGACACUUGUUGGACAUUCACACCCUAUCAGGCAACACAGCAAUGAUGCGCUGCAGAUAGAAGUACCUCUUCUCAAUUCCUCCCAGACUGGAUGAUGCAUCAGAAAACAGCUUUACAGCAGGCCUAUUCUGCCAACUAGGAUGGAGACUGGAAGGCAUGCCUUUGGAGAGUUUAAAUUUAUGUUUCAACAACCCCAUGUGAAAUAAAGGUCUGGUUGAUUAAUCAGUUUCUUGAGUCAAUGAAGAGAGCCAGUCAAAAGUAUUCUAACUCUGGAAGGGAUUUCUAACCUGAAUAAUCUACCUUAACAGCCCAAUACAUCAAUUAACUGUAUAGUGAUCAUUAUCAAAUUACCAAUUUCACUUAGCUUAUAUGAUUUUAGUGCUAUGUAGACACAAAUUCGAAUUUUGCAUCGAUGUAGGCUCCCUUUCUUCUGUACUUUCUUUAUGACCUGACUUUGUAUGCUUAUAAUAUAAUUUUUAUUAUAAAUAAAUAUCUAUUCUAAAAAAAGUAAAUUUCUUUUUUUAUUAAAUCUCUUUACUUACAAUUCAGGCUAUGUUGGAGGAGGAAAUGGCAACCCACUCCAGUAUUCUUGCCUGAAGAAUCCCAUGGACAGAGGAGCCUGGUGGACACAGUACAUAGAGUCACAAAGAGUCGGACACGACUGAGCUGCAAGCAGCAGGCUAUGUUAGGAUGGUUGACUUUCUUCAUUGCUUGGUGCUUACUUCCC